rnacentral:rRNA from 1 species
UACGUAGGGGGCAAGCGUUAUCCGGAUUUACUGGGUGUAAAGGGAGCGUAGGUGGCUUGGUAAGUCAGAAGUGAAAGCCCAGAGCUCAACUCUGGGACUGCUUUUGAAACUAUCAAGCUAGAGUGCAGGAGAGGUAAGUGGAAUUCCUAGUGUAGCGGUGAAAUGCGUAGAUAUUAGGAGGAACACCAGUGGCGAAGGCGGCUUACUGGACUGUAACUGACACUGAGGCUAGAAAGCGUGGGGAGCAAACAGG